GAGUCACAGUGGGCAGACGGUUGCUGAAGUGGCUGGAGCUGAGCCUCCUCUUAAAUCAGGAAGCACUCCCUAGAGAUGACAAGAGCUCCCAGUUGCCAGCUGACAAGCACUGUGGUACCUGCCAUCUCUGAAGCCAGAAUCACAGCCCAGACUCCAGGAAGCAGUGCCAAGGUUUGACAUCAGCAGCAAAGCAUGAAGGGCCAGCUGGAGGAGCACCCGUGUUCCCAGGAACGAAUGAUAACAGAGCAGAGUGUGUGGUGUUGGGCCUGUCCCAGGAAUUCCAGAAGCCCUCAAGACUGAGCUGUGACAGGAACUCCCGUGCUAGUGGCUGGGAUAGAGAUGCAAGAUGGAGAUUGAGGAAGGGAUCGCCUGAAUCUGGAGUCUGACUGAAGCAUCUCACCACAUGAGAACCAAGAAGGCCAACGCAGUGACAUUUGCUUAAGGCUUUUCUCCUUUGCUGGCUGCAACCUACAGUGUCCAGGAGACUGUCACAGGAAGCCCCAUGAACAUCAAAAGGACAUGUCUCAACCUUCCUAUGCAACCUUAGUAACUCCUAGUUUCAUCUUAUCAGAUUGUAAACCCAUCUAGGCACCCUAUAAUCUCAAUUAGCUAAAAGGGGAGCAGAGGGAGAGGGGGAGGAGAGGGUCCUCUAGCAAUAAUUUAAACAGUGAAAUCCUAAAAGCUUCUAGAAUUCUACAGUCACCACCAGACAUGUAAAUGCUACUCUUAUCAGAGAUGCCUGAAUCCCGCUCUCAUGAAAGCCUCCUCUUUCCCUGAGCACUUUCUAUUUUUAAUAGACUCCAACUCUACCUCAUACUACUUUGUCCAAAACUUCUUCCCUGUAGUGUGGCCAAGGACCUGGUUUUACCUGAAUCAGGUCCCUAAAAUGCUAAGGAGACUACUCAAGCUACUGUGGGCAACAGGGUGGUGCUGUGCCUCUGUCCCUGUCACCACUCACAGUAGAAAGCAGCAGGAGGAGCAAGAGACUGUGCACCCUAUGUUCCAACCCCUUAGGCAUCUCCUGUCAGCUCUGUGGCCCUACCAUGGGGCGGCAGACAGGACCCCUGGUCUUUAAUAUCCUUGUGGAAAUGUCAAUCCUCCUUUGAUUUUUUUUCUAUUCCUAUGGGCACAUUUACAAAAAAAAGCUGUUAUAAUAACAUAUUAAAACAAAGGGAGGUCAGUCUUCCACUAGAAGCCUUUGGAUGAAGACAUAGAACUCUCAACUCUGCCUGUGCCAUGACAGCCUGGAUGCUGCCAUGCUCCCACCUUGAUGAUAAUGGACUGAACCUCUGAACCUGUAAGCCAGCCCCAAUUAAAUGUUGGUUUUUAUAAGACUUUCCUUGGUCAUGGUUUCUGUUCACAGCAGUAAAACCCUAACUAAGACAGAAGUUGGUACCAGGAGUGGGGUAUUGCUGUGAUAGGCCUGACCAUGCUUUUACUUGAAAGAAUGUGGAUUUUUGGACUUUGGAUUUGGAACUCAGUGGAAUGCUUUAAAUGGGGC
rnacentral:lncRNA from 1 species